GGCUGGUAUGAGUACACUGUGUUUACAACUAAUUGAUCACAACCAGUUUACAGACUUACUUGUUCUUUCUUCACUCCCACUACUGCACUUGACUAGCCUAAA
rnacentral:Y_RNA from 1 species